GACGAACGCUGGCGGCGCGCCUAACACAUGCAAGUCGAACGAGCGAGAGAGAGCUUGCUUUCUCAAGCGAGUGGCGAACGGGUGAGUAACGCGUGAGGAACCUGUCUCAAAGAGGGGGACAACAGUUGGAAACGACUGCUAAUACCGCAUAAGCCCACGACCCGGCAUCGGGUAGAGGGAAAAGGAGCAAUCCGCUUUGAGAUGGCCUCGCGUCCGAUUAGCUAGUUGGUGAGGUAACGGCCCACCAAGGCGACGAUCGGUAGCCGGACUGAGAGGUUGAACGGCCACAGUGGGACUGAGACACGGCCCAGACUCCUACGGGAGGCAGCAGUGGGGAAUAUUGCACAAUGGGGGAAACCCUGAUGCAGCGACGCCGCGUGGAGGAAGAAGGUCUUCGGAUUGUAAACUCCUGUUGUGGAGGAAGAUAAUGACGGUACUCAACAAGGAAGUGACGGCUAACUACGUG
rnacentral:rRNA from 1 species